rnacentral:lncRNA from 1 species
GGAUUUUCGUGGAGAAGUAAAUCAAUAUGAAGAAUGGCAAGUAAAAAAAAAAAAGGAAAUUUUUAACAUUCACAAUGGAUUGUAUUGGGGACAGCGAAUGGGAAGGACUGAAUGCUGAUGGAUCAUUCACCUUGGAGAUUCCCACAUUAUGGAGGAAAUAGCUUGUAGAACCGGAGAGGAGAAGUCUUCUGGGGGACCUCCAAAUUGUGAACUGAGCGCUGAGAGCUGAGACACCAGAUGUUUUCAUGACAUGGGCAGGGUUUAAUUUAAUCAAAGGAUAUGGCCUAGAAGGAAAUUCAGUGACGGACGGUGGGGAGCAGAAUCCCAACUGAGCUGACUUAUAAUUUCAGAUGCAGAGAAAAGAGUGGUUCAGGAAAUUCUGCAACAGGUAUAUCAUGUUUAUGCAACAGGUAUAUCCUUCAUGUUUAUGAUGUUAAUUGUUCCUGUUUCCCGAAGUGAUUAGCAGAACACAAUUCAGGAGGAAAUGGAUAUGUGUGCUGGAUGGGAAGAGAAAAGCCAGGGCAUGAUAUCCCAUGUCACAGCCCG